AUCUAUUUUAAUAUAUUAUAAGUUACAAAGCUUUGUUUUUAUUUUUAUAAUAUUAUAUAUAUAUAUAUAUAUAUAUAUAUAUAUAUAUAUAUAUAUAUAUAUAUAUAUAUAUCGGUUCAGGUUUAUUUCUUACACACAUAUUAAUAGUUCCGACAUUCCUUUUUUGUUUUCAUUUUUUAUUUAGUUUUUACUUUAAUUAACAUUCCACAACAAUAAGUAUUUAAUACUAGGUUGUUUUGUUUCGGAUCUUCCAAAACUUUAUUUUUUCAAUUAAAUUAUUUUUUCAUAUAGUUUCAUACGACACAAACUCAACAAUAGAAUAUACAACUUUAUCUGUUCGCGCAACAGGUAUUCGUAAUCUACUAUAAGCUAUGAUGACACGAGUUUCAAAACUAUAUUUUUAUUUUUAUAAUGUUUGAUUCGCAUACUUAUUUAAUUCAUUAGUUCUUAAAGUUCUAUAUAAAACAACAAACAAAUAUAACAAUAGUCUUUCUUUAUUUUAAAAUUAUUCCUUUUUUUCGGUUACAUUAUUAACCUUUUUACAUUGCUUGGUGUUGUAAACAUUUAUUAUUCGAAUUUCGUUACAAUGUGUUUUGGUCCAAAGUUGGGUAUUCAUUGGCAUGGCCGAGGCUAGUUUAACCAGUCUUGACCCACGCUUGGAUCUCCAAUGAAUAGCCAAGACUAGGUUAGCCAGUGUUGGCCCAAGGUUGGCUGAUCAUUGGCAUGGCCGAGGCUGGGUUAACCAGUCUUGGCCCACGCUUGGAUCUCCAAUGAAUGGCCAAGGCUGGGUUAGCCAGUCUUGGCCCAAGGAUGGGUGAUCAUUGGCAUGGUCGAGGGUGGGUUAACCAGUCUUGGCCCACGCUUGGAUCUCCAAUGAAUGGCCAAGGCUGGGUAACCCAGUCUUGGGCCAAGGCUGGGUAACCCAGUCUUGGGCCAAGGUUGGGUGAUCAUUGGCAUGGCCGAGGCUGGGUUAACCAGUCUUGGCCCACGCUUGGAUCUCCAAUGAAUGGCCAAGGCUGGGUUAGCCAGUCUUGGCCCAAGGAUGGGUGAUCAUUGGCAUGGCCGAGGGUGGUUUAACCAGUCUUGGCCCACGCUUGGAUCUCCAAUGAAUGGCCAGGGCUGGGUUAGC
rnacentral:misc_RNA from 1 species